GCAGCAUACAAUCCUUGCCUUGUUUUCCAGAAUGCUACACAUAUAUGAGAUUGAAAAAACAGUAAAGUGAUAAAAAUGCAAGGACAAGUCUUCGACAGUUUUGAAAGUCAAUUAUCACCAAGAGAGAAAACCACCCUGAUGGAGUCCCUUGCUGCCUGUCCAACCAUAUAGCCUCAAAAUUCGUCCAAGAAAGUAGGCUCAGAAACACCCAGAUCGAGCAGAGUGAGCCCCAGUUUUAUGAUGUGGAAUGGAGUUGCCAAUCACAAAGAGGAAGAAACACUUUCAUCUCAAAC
rnacentral:lncRNA from 1 species